rnacentral:rRNA from 1 species
UACGUAGGGAGCAAGCGUUGUCCGGAAUCAUUGGGCGUAAAGCGCGCGUAGGUGGCUUCAUAAGUCCGUUGUGAAAGUCAAGGGCUCAACCCUUGAAUGCCGGUUGAUACUGUCGGGCUAGAGUCUGGAAGAGGCGAGUGGAAUUCCCGGUGUAGCGGUGAAAUGCGCAGAUAUCGGGAGGAACACCAAUGGCGAAGGCAGCUCGCUGGGACGGUACUGACGCUGAGACGCGAAAGCGUGGGGAGCGAACAGG